rnacentral:RNase_P_RNA from 1 species
GGAGGAGAUUAAACGGUCGCGGUCCUGUACAGCAGGAGCGAGGAAAGUCCGGACUCCGUGGGGCAGGGUGGCUGCUAAUGACAGCCUGCCGUAAGGCUAGGGAAAGUGCCACAGAAAAGAGACCGCCAGCAAUUGCGCUGGUAAGGGUGAAAAGGUGAGGUAAGAGCUCACCAAUUCCUUGAGAGAUCAAGGACGCUGGGUAAACCCCACCUGGAGCAAGAUCAAAUAAGAGGAGCCCGUUCUACGGGCAAGAGUCGCCCCACUCUCCCUCUGGGUUCGAUCGCUCGAGCGUAUCGGUAACGAUACGCCUAGAGGAAUGACCGUUCCCCUUCCUUAUUAGGGAAGGGCACAGAAUCCGGCUUACCGAUCUCCUCCCCUU